rnacentral:rRNA from 1 species
UACGGAGGGUGCAAGCGUUAUCCGGAUUCACUGGGUUUAAAGGGUGCGUAGGUGGGUCUGUAAGUCAGUGGUGAAAUCUCCAGGCUUAACCUGGAAACUGCCAUUGAUACUAUAGGUCUUGAAUUUUCUGGAGGAUAGCGGAAUAUGUCAUGUAGCGGUGAAAUGCUUAGAUAUGACAUAGAACACCAAUUGCGAAGGCAGCUAUCUACAGGGAUAUUGACACUGAUGCACGAAAGCGUGGGGAUCAAACAGG